CCUUCCUCAAACUUACAGGUAUGAUUCUUUCAGUUACUCCAAGAAUUUCGAUGAUGGAAUCAAGAUUUCUCAAUGAAGCUAAUAAGCUUCAAACUCAAGAUCAUCAAGAACCUUUCCACAUCCAAUAAGAUUCAAGAAAGGAUAUUUUAUAUCUCUAUAUAUAGGAUUCUUGUCUUUGUAUGUCAUUUUCUUUCUAUUCUUUUUCCCC
rnacentral:misc_RNA from 1 species